rnacentral:lncRNA from 1 species
UGGGUUUUGUUAUUUUAAAUUUUCUAUGGUAUUAAAUUUUUGAAAGACAUGUUUUUUUUUUUUUUAACCUGAAGAUACCAUUUCUAAAUUAAUUAUAAGAGUUUUUACAUCCCAAGUACGAAAUAUAAAAUAACAACCGGAAAUUUGGAAACAUUUAAAUAUGAAACUCUGUGAAGCAAGAUUUAGAAAAUGAUGUACUAAUGCCUCUUGAAGCUUGAUUCCUUUGUCACACUUGAAAUCUGUCAAACCAAACCCACAAGUAUGAAAUGGUUUCCGCAGAUUGGUGAGAUGGUGUUCUACAAAGUUGAUCCGCUCUGUCCAACGAGUAAAGCUUUGCUCUUAACUGCAGAAAUAUGUCCUUCACAAGUAUCGAUGUCGGUCUAGAGAUCCCGGAAUGCAGCCUUGAGUUUCUCUCUUU